CUCUGAAGAAAGAAAAAAAACAAACGACAGCGCACCAAUCAUCGCGAGGGAGAGCGACUCAGCGGCUUUUAUGAAUGAACUUUGAGCGCAGCGCACCCCGCCCGUCAUCACCCGCAGCCCGGCCCCGGACCGACGGGAUGGAGUGGCUCCUCCAGCGAUGCCGCAGGGAGGCCGUCUCCCCGGCCGCGUGGCGCGCGGCGCUCCUCGCGUCCUGUGGGCAUCAUUUGUGUUGGAUGCGUGCGCAAUCCAUGUCUGGCUGUGAUGCAGACAGUGCUGCUGUGCAGGGAAGUAGGACAGAUUAUAAAUUGCUCACUGCAUCCGUGCCAAGCCAAGCCAAGGCCUGGCUAUAAUCAUUUUUCUGUGACAGACAGCGCCAAAUAAUGCGAGGAUAAAUAGUGAAUCCAAUCCAAUCCAAUCCAAACAGGGGCAAAUCCUCUCAGAGGGCAAAGGAGAUAAUUAAAUUGAAUUAUUACCUUCCUCAUCCAGAGCUCUUGGUCCUGUGCGUGGGCGUGUACCCUGGGUUGUGGUCCAUCGGCGUCCGGCUUCAUUCAGCCGUCACGGGGAGCUACGUGCCAGGCCACCACUCGGUCCUUCUCCUCAACAGCCCCAACGAGCAGGUGGCCAAGGACAUCGGCAGGUACGGCACAGUAGUGAGUGCCCACCACACUCAGGUUAAGCGUCAGAGGCCUAUCCGACAUCAAAUCCUCAAUGAUCAAGCGCCGUUCGGUUUUCCGAUCCAGCUCAAACACGUCAAAGGGGACAGAUGGCGACCAAACUGCGGUUUCAUUAUCAAGUCCCUGGAGGCUACUUAGGUUUUUGUAUACACAUUGAGCAAACAUGAUGAAAAUGCUGCUUUAUGGAGGUACGGGUCGAGCUGCAGGCGAGGUAGUUGUGACUCCCUUGCUGCCUGGAGCUUCACAUGCAGAAAUGAAUGGGAUCUUCCAAUCUCACAAAAAGAAAAGAAAAGAAGUUAAUACAUCUCAAACUCCUCCUUUAAUCAGAAUGCUAAUUUGAUUCAUUUGCUUUGGUACAGUGUGUGACUCCUGGUUUGCAAUUUGCAGGAGUCGCAGCGAGUUGAAACAAGUGACUUUUCUUCGCACACAAAUAUGCAACCUUGUCAAACGCACGACUGGUGGAGCGCCGUGUUUGCACUCUCGUCGCCUUUGUUGGCUUUUUUUUUUAAUUCUAUUUCCUGCAUUUGUUAAAUGAGCUCCAUCAAUUUACCGCACGUCGAGGCGGAAAGUAGCCGCGGGGCAGACGGCAGAUGAGUAAGUCACCUCUUCCAUGAGCCCCUGGUGUGAGGAGAGCGGAGCUGCAGCAGAAAAGAAAAAGUCCACUGUCUUUAUUCAAGGAUUUACAGCAUUGGAGUAGUUUCCCCAGCAGCACACUUGAAGAGCGACCGUAAAGAAAAAGCUCCGUUUCAUGAUGAGAUUGAUAAACGGCUGGUGGCUUGUUGAGUGUUUCAUAUUUGUUGCUUUUCCACGUCUGGCCCCUCUGUUUUCCAUCCACACUCCCUACUGUUCUGUCUUCUUCUCCAGGGCAAUCAUGGAGCGGCGGCUGGCAGCCAGUGUUACCAUUCUCUCCAGGACCUCCACUAUGUAAAUCAUAUUCGACCCCCUUGCCUUGACACAGCUGAAACGCAACCACAAAGACUACCUUAGUUACGCUGUCUCUCGCGGGCACACACACACACACACCUACGCGUAAAAAACACACGUUUUCUCUUCUUUGUUUUAUCCUCUCUGGUUGCUGGGGAAACCGGGAGGUGAAUGGGCUUUUAUCAGUUUUUCCCAUCACGGUGAAACUGAAUGGCAGUGAGCCUUCGAAUCGGUCGCGUCUUCAUAUGCAUGGAUUAGCUUUGCUGUUAAUGCAUAACCAUACACGGAACAAGGAAGGGAAAACGGGCGGUGACUGAAUAGAAAAAGGCACCAUUGAACUUAAUACCCAAACAGAGCUUUUUUGCCUAACAGUACAGUGACGUCAUCUCUCCCCUGCUUCAGCAGCAGAAACAGUCUCACGUCACUUCAGCUUCUCAUCAUAACAGUUUGAUCAUCGUCAAACAAAAGUAUUCACUCUAAUAGUAAACAUGAUUAAUUCCUUUAAAUGUUGAAAAGUAUUUUGAGUGGUUCUUUCAUUGUUUAAUUGUUUGGUCAUAUCAUUUUCAUCUCCUUAUUUUAAUUUCACUUUGUAGAAUGUCACUUUUACAUGUCGCUUAAAGCAAAGUGACUUGCACGUAUUCCUUUUCGUAUCAUAUUCAAAACUUUUUCAAAACUAUUUAUGGCCCUGACGAUGUCGCUUGUAAUUACCGACUCCGCCUCUUUCACGUGAAUGCGCUCGUGACCGCUUCGUAGCACAGGUUAUUCAUGAUGGUCAGUGUUAGGUUAAGUCAAACCAGAUAACGAAAACACAUCCUGGGUAGGUUGAACUGGCUUCAUAGUACAGGCCCCUGGUGUGUAAUGAUAAGCUUCAGUUAAAUCCAGAGCUUAUUUUGUUUUACAAAAAUACAUUUCAACAUGUAUUUUCACAUUUGUCAUGCAACAUGCUUAAAUAUGGAUUCACAGUCGGUGGUGUGCUGUCUUUCCAAGUCCACAAAAAAACAACAACACCAUGUUCAAAGGUAAGAGGCAGUUUUGCACUUGACAAUCGUAAAAGCCUCCAUUGAGCAGUCUGACAAUACGGCAGUAAAUCACAGCAGUCAUAAUAAAUGGCUGGGCAAGGUUUGAUUGUUGUGUUCGUACAUAAAAUACAGUUUCCCCCUCAAAGGCCUUCUGCAGAAUUUAAAGGCUCGGCAGCAUGUACUGUACACGCACUGGUACUUUUAUCCCCUAGUAAUUUACAGUCCAUCAUGUACUUGCGUAGCACAUGGAACAGUGGUAAUGCCUUGUCCCCUCUGCUUCCUUCAGGUACUAUUGGAAGGGCGAAGUCCAGGAUGCAAGUGAAAUUCUGAUGGUAAGCUUACAGAGAGAGUUUAUUCUGAGAGAGGUCAUUCUUGAGCAACAUGCACUCAACAGGCCCGUUGCGAUAAAGGGCAGAACUGUCGGAUGAAAUGUCACUGUUGUUGCAGCUGGUGAAAACGAAAACCUCCAGGAUCCAGCAAGUCACGGAUUACGUGAAGUGAGGUUCUUUUCCUUACGUAAUAUAUGGUUAUUUCAGUCCUGUCAUUGUAAAACGUACAUGAAAUGAAAGUGUCAGGCUUAUUUAAUGCUUUGCACGCUGCUGUUAACAUGCACUGAAGGUUGGUUCAUUGUGGUUAUUUUCAAUUUGGGCCUUAAUGUGUGCUUCUAAUUUAAUUUCACUCAAGGGGCUUAAGAAAGACGACCUCCAGUUUUUUGCAGUAGCACUGUUAUGGAAAGCAGAAGCUGUAAUCAGACUAAUACAUUGCUGUAGCUUACAAAAGUUUAUUUUUGAAUGCUUGACCUAAUAAAAGACUCACAUGCUAAA